AUUGAACGCUGGCGGCAUGCUUAACACAUGCAAUUCGAACGGCACCGCGGGCUUGGCCUUGUCGCCUGUUGGCAAACGGGUGGGUAAUACAUCGGAACUUCCCCAGUGUUGGGGAAAACCUCGGGGAAAGCGGAAUUAAAACCGCAUCCAACUUGGGGUGGAAACGGGGGGUUCUUCGACCCCGGCCCUAUGGAGCCGUCGGAUGGCAGCUUGAGUAGUGGUUGGGUUAAAGGCCUACCAGGGCAACGAUCUGUAGCGGUUCUGAGAGGACGACCAGCCACACUGGCACUGAGACACGGCCCAGACUCCUACGGGAGGCAGCAGUGGGGAAUUUUGGACAAUGGGCGAAAGCCUGAUCCAGCAAUGCCGCGUGUGUGAUGAAGGCCUUCGGGUUGUAAAGCAAUUUUGGCGGGAACGAAAAGGAAUGUGCCAAUACCACGGUUCGAUGACGGUACCCGCAGAAUAAGCACCGGCUAACUACGUG
rnacentral:rRNA from 1 species